AUUGAACGCUGGCGGCAUGCCUUACACAUGCAAGUCGAACGGCAGCACGGGUGCUUGCACCUGGUGGCGAGUGGCGAACGGGUGAGUAAUACAUCGGAACAUGUCCUGUAGUGGGGGAUAGCCCGGCGAAAGCCGGAUUAAUACCGCAUACGAUCCACGGAUGAAAGCGGGGGACCUUCGGGCCUCGCGCUAUAGGGUUGGCCGAUGGCUGAUUAGCUAGUUGGUGGGGUAAAGGCCUACCAAGGCGACGAUCAGUAGCUGGUCUGAGAGGACGACCAGCCACACUGGGACUGAGACACGGCCCAGACUACUACGGGAGGCAGCAGUGGGGAAUUUUGGACAAUGGGCGAAAGCCUGAUCCAGCAAUGCCGCGUGUGUGAAGAAGGCCUUCGGGUUGUAAAGCACUUUUGUCCGGAAAGAAAUCCUUGGCUCUAAUACAGUCGGGGGAUGACGGUACCGGAAGAAUAAGCACCGGCUAACUACGUG
rnacentral:rRNA from 1 species